AUAAGGCUAUUUACAUAGAAAACCUAUUUACCAGAUAUGUUGGAGUGACCUUUGCUGAGUGCUGACCUGGCUUGAUCACAUGACCUGAUAUGGCGAAGCGACUCGAUGACGUCAUGUCCCGCCUGGGGACUGGCCGCUGGAACCUCCUGCACAUCCUCUCCCUCUCUUACUGCUUCUCUCUGACCACGUACCACACCCUGGGCGGCGCCUUCCUCGCCCCCGAGUGGACUACACCUGCCGCCGGCCCGAGGGCGCCCACGACGCAGCUGCCGCCCGAAGCGCCUCACCGCUGUUCAUUCCCGCCGGCGACAACACCUCCGAAGAGGCUAAACCCGAGUGCAGUUACUUCGUGCUGAACUCGUCCUCGGGCCAGGUCGAGGAGGAGCCUUGCGUCGAGUGGGACUUCGACAACUCCACCUUCAGCUCCACCGUUGGCACUGAGUUCCAGCUUGCCUGCGGUUGGGAGUACCUUCGCUCGACGUACCAAAGCAUCUACAUGUUCGGCGUCACGAUCGGGGCGCCGUUCAACGGGGUUCUGGCCGACAGGUACGGGCGUAAGAUGACAGUG